UCCAGGGUAGCCUAGUGGUCAUGGCAUCUGCCCGGUAAGCGGAAGGUCGUGGGUUCGAAUCCCAUCCCUUGAAA
rnacentral:tRNA from 1 species